CUCUGCACUGUCUGCACCACAGAUACAGACCAUAAAGUAGAAGAAGUAGAACGAACAUACCCAGUCAUAGCAAAAUAAUUGAGUGAAUUGAAGUUAUAGUGAGUGAACGGAACGGAGUCUUGAUUCACCUUUAUGCGACAGAAAAACAUGGUGGUUUCUUGGUGAUGACGAAAUGAUGGAUCUGGCGGGGAAAAUAUUGGCAUAAGGAAAUGUACCUCAACAUGUGGAGUAAUGCUGUUGGCUGCUGUGAAUUCCAUUUUCUUCGGUUUUGUCAUCAUGAACUUUUCAGUGUGCUUCUUAGAAAAGAGCACGCAGUUUCUUUGUGGAAUCGUGUGGUCCUGGGACGGAGAUUCCGAGAUUCUUGAGUCAACGCUGGUUUUUGUCCAUGACCAACGUUCUGCUCCAUCCUUAUCUUCCCGACGUAAGCUCAUCCAGCUUCUGCUUCAUCGCUUCGUACACAAAAAUACAAUUUGACUUACUUCACUGACGAGUUGGAACACUUCAGUGGUCGGCCUGGUCGCUUCCGUGCCGCUAUUACACACCUGCAGUCACUCACCACGGGAUUAUGCCCAGGUAAUACAGAGGGGACGUCCAGAAGAGAGACAAUAAAACAUCUCCGUUAUCUCCAAAAUGUCAGCGCGGAUCAUCAUUUGUUGUUGGCAAUAUUUGUGUUUGUUAGUUAACCCGUUGUCUGCCACGCCUUUGU